CGAGCCAGCCGUCCUGUGCCGAGCGGGCUGCGACGGCGCCGCCGCGCGUGGCGCUCGGAGCCUGGGCAGUGGGCGAAAGUCUCGUCCCACCUGCCCGUCCCAAGCGGACCCGCGCCAGGCUGCCAGGUCACCCCCGGCGCAACCUGGCGCG
rnacentral:sRNA from 1 species